rnacentral:rRNA from 1 species
GGAUGCGAUCAUACCAGCACUAAAGCACUGGGCGAGAGUAGUACUAGGAUGGGUGACCUCCUGGGAAGUCCUCGUGUUGCAUUCC